rnacentral:sRNA from 14 species
UCCACGUAUAUCAAUAUCCAUACGAAUAAAUGCAAAAAAUCAUACUUAGUUUUUGAGCUGUGCGGUUGACGAAGGGGGAAUUGAUUCGAAUUGCCUUUCUUUUCCUUUUGACAUUUCCACACUGUUGUUUGUCAAGUAAAUGAGUCGUUAUUUGGUUGAAAAAUGCUUCACAAAAAACAAAGUAAAAACAUGU